UUUCUAUCACACCUUCCCUCGUUCUCUCUUUGACACAGUCACCAAAAGGUCAAACUUCUCUACCCGGCCAAAAACUCCUCCGGAACCUAACCGGAAAAUGACCACAUAUGGCACGAUCCCAACCGCAUCGUCGCCGGGAGCCACCACCAACAUCGAGUACAUAUCUCGAGCUAAAGAAAGGAUCAAAGAAGGGUUAGGCACUCGCAGACCAUGGAAAAUAAUGUUCAAUUUCCAUUCUUUUAAGCUCCCUACCAAUCUAGCAGAAGCUCUGGUCCGACUGAAGACUAACGCCGCUUACUUUGGCAUGAACUACGCCAUAAUAAUACUGAUAAUCUUGUUCUUGAGCCUUCUGUGGCACCCAAUCUCCCUUAUAGUGUUUAUAGUGAUGAUGGCUGCGUGGUUGUUCUUGUACUUCUUGAGGGAUGAGCCAUUGGAGGUUUUUGGCCGGACGAUCGACGAUCUAGUGGUUUUGAUCUUACUUGGAGUGCUGACGAUAGUGUUCUUGUUGCUGACCCAUGUGACUUUGAAUGUUAUAGUGUCGCUGGUGAUCGGAGUGGUGGCUGUGGUGGUGCAUGGAGUUAUAAGAAAGAUUGAUGAUUUGUUCUUGGAUGAGGAGGCUACUGGGUUGAUGAGUACUGCAAGUGGCGGUGGUGCUGCUUCCUCUUCUUCUUGAUUGUGAGGUUCUUUGUGUUUAGUUGAGGUUAAUGGGUACUACUACUGAGAUUAAUUAAUUCCAAUUUGCUGCUAUUUGGCUUUUUUUUGGUUAUUUGGUGUUCACUAAUUAUGGUUUUCUCAUUUCUAAUUGUGGUUUGGAUUUUGAAGUUGCUGGAAUUGAUAGGAUUUCAGUUUUGAUUUUGCUUUGGUUCCCUUUUUUUUUUGGGGGGGUGGGUGAAGGAACAGCAAGAAAAACUAUUAUUAGCUAACUAAUCCUCGACAUGAUUGUUUUUGCUGGCUCAUGUAAUUGAUAGUUUUUGUGUUGUGGCUCCCAUUUUCCUUU
rnacentral:misc_RNA from 1 species